GGAGUAUCCAGGAAGUCAGACGGCUGGGUGGGGCUGGGUUGCUGUGAGCUGGCUAUCUCAGCUGAGUGUCGCAGGGAAUGCAGACAGGCAUCGUCUAAAAAUGAUAUAACAAAAGUAUGCAAAAAAGUCACAGAGAACUCGCUCUACAGCUGCAUCUCCAAAAAUGAAA